UACGGGGGGAGCAAGCGUUGUUCGGAUUUACUGGGCGUAAAGGGCGCGUAGGCGGUCGUGACAAGUCACUUGUGAAAUCUCCGGGCUUAACUCGGAACGGUCAAGUGAUACUGUCGGACUAGAGUACAGAAGGGGCAACUGGAAUUCUCGGUGUAGCGGUGAAAUGCGUAGAUAUCGAGAGGAACACCUGCGGCGAAGGCGCUCUGCUAGGCCGCAACUGACACUGAGGGACGAAAGCUAGGGGAGCGAAUGGG
rnacentral:rRNA from 1 species